rnacentral:rRNA from 1 species
UGGUUUUUUAAGUCUGCUGUGAAAUCCCCGGGCUCAACCUGGGAAUGGCAGUGGAUACUGGAAAGCUAGAGUGCGGUAGAGGGUAGUGGAAUUCCCGGUGUAGCAGUGAAAUGCGUAGAGAUCGGGAGGAACACCAGUGGCGAAGGCGGCUACCUGGACCAGCACUGACACUGAGGCACGAAAGCGUGGGGAGCAAACAGGAUUAGAUACCCUGGUAGUCCACGCCCUAAACGAUGCGAACUGGAUGUUGGGUGCAACUUGGCACUCAGUAUCGAAGCUAACGCGUUAAGUUCGCCGCCUGGGGAGUACGGUCGCAAGAUUAAAACUCAAAGGAAUUGACGGGGACCCGCACAAGCGGUGGAUUAUGUGGAUUAAUUCGAUGCAACGCGAAAAACCUUACCUACCCUUGACAUGCCAGGAAGAUCGCAGAGAUGUGAUUGUGCCCGAAAGGGAACCUGGACACAGGUGCUGCAUGGCUGUCGUCAGCUCGUGUCGUGAGAUGUUGGGUUAAGUCCCGCAACGAGCGCAACCCUUGUCCUUAGUUGCCAGCACGUAAUGGUGGGAACUCUAAGGAGACUGCCGGUGACAAACCGGAGGAAGGUGGGGAUGACGUCAAGUCCUCAUGGCCCUUACGGCCAGGGCUACACACGUACUACAAUGGUCGGUACAGAGGGUUGCAAUACCGCGAGGUGGAGCCAAUCCCAGAAAGCCGAUCCCAGUCCGGAUCGAAGUCUGCAACUCGACUUCGUGAAGUCGGAAUCGCUAGUAAUC